rnacentral:rRNA from 17 species
CAGGUCAGGCGGGGCUACCCGCUGAGUUUAAGCAUAUCAAUAAGC